GCCUACGGGGCGCAGCAGUGGGGAAUAUUGCACAAUGGGGGAAACCCUGAUGCAGCGACGCCGCGUGAAGGACGAAGUAUUUCGGUACGUAAACUUCUAUCAGCAGGGAAGAAAAUGACGGUACCUGACCAAGAAGCCCCGGCUAACUACGUGCCAGCAGCCGCGGUAAUACGUAGGUGGCAAGCGUUGUCCGGAUUUACUGGGUGUAAAGGGCGUGUAGCCGGGUUGACAAGUCAGAUGUGAAAUCCUGCGGCUUAACCGCAGAACUGCAUUUGAAACUGUUGAUCUUGAGUACUGGAGAGGCA
rnacentral:rRNA from 1 species